CUUCACACUUGUUCCCUCCAAUUUUCUACUAGAAAAGUUUAAAAAUUCUCCUGCUAAUUUUUCGUUUCCCCCCAAAGACCAUGAUUUCACCAAAAUUUGAAGUUUCCUCCACAUCUUCACAAUUUCACCGCUUAGCUUUCUCUAGUUGUGUUCUCCACCUCCAAAUGGACCCUCUUAUUCAUCGAUGGUUGCCGAAAUCUAUCACCUGCUAGCGAACCACCGUCGCCUAACAGUCGGGCAGCCUUUUGGUUUUACUCAAUGAUACUUGUACUAUUCUCUACACCGUCCGACGGACUCCGACAUACAGUUGCCGCCAUGUUACCCAACAUUCCCCUCAUGUUACCCUCAUUUUCAUACAGUUAGCUUAUAUUAAGAGGGCUAGCAUGAAAUAUGGGAACAAACAUUUUUUUUAUAGACAGGACCAGGCGUGAUACCUACAAGGUUAAAAGCAGUUUCAUCCAUUGAAUUAUGCCAACACAAAUUCCCUUCUAAGACCAUGUGUUGUGGAAGGGGAAGAUAAUGCCCCCACCCUAGGGCAUUUUACGCCAUUUGGCGGUCCAGUCAGCAAAUAGACAUUAUUGAGCGUUUUUCGGCGUUAUUUUUGAAUUUUUCUUAAAAAAAAACGCCCCACUACGGGGGAUCUAACUAAUUUUGGUGUGGAAGGCAAGCAACUAUUAGCGGUAGGUUCAUGAUGUACAUGGCUACUCGAGAAGCCUGGCUUGAUUUGUUGCUAACAUGGGCCUUGUCGUGGGAAAUUGCUUCAAAGAACAUAAGAAAAGUUGUCACAAGGUGUCACAUUUGGUCUUGGUUGGGGGGAAGAGUAGAGGAAUACUCGGCUGCAGAUAUGGAUGACAUUCGCGAAGAUUGGUCGAUUUAUGCGGUUACCUCUAUUGUAACCAUAUUUUAGGUGUUGACGAAUGUAUUGAUAAACAAUUUUUUUUUUGUUAAAGUUAACAUAUUUGUAAUAUACUUGACAUAUGAUUAUGUAAUGGGUUGUUUUGGUAUA